rnacentral:lncRNA from 1 species
AGCUUACUGAAAUUAUGUUGUGUGUUUUCUCUCAGAGUUUCAAGAAGUUUUUAACAGAAAUGUCAUGAUUGUUGCUGCAACAAAUAGACCUGAUGUAUUAGAUGAUGCCUUGUUACGACCUGGAAGAUUAGAUAAGAUUAUUUAUAUUCCACCUCCAGAUGAAAAGGGCAGGCCUUUCUAUUUUGAAAGUCUGUACAAAAAAUAUGCCAAUGGGGCCUGAUGUUUCCUUAGAAAACAUAGCAGCAGAAACCUGUUUUUUCUCUGGUGCUGAUCUGGAAAUCUUUGCAAAGAAGCUGCCUUGCUGGCUCUGCAAGAAAAUGGAUUAGAAGCAACCACAGUGAAACAAGAGCACUUUCUAAAAUCACUUAAGACUGUGAAACCAUCCUUAAGUCCUGAGGACUUGACUUUGUAUGAAAACUUAUUUCAGAAACAAGGAUUUUCUAACUUAGAAGAUAUUUAAAAUUAAUGUUACAUCUCUGCUCACAGAUUAAUUGAACUGUUAAAUUGCCCUAUAGUUUUUGCAAUUUUGCACUUUUAGAGUUUGUGUGUUAUUUCCUGUAAAUAAAAGAAUUUGUACCAGAUAAGCUAAAGC